CCUACGGGAGGCAGCAGUAGGGAAUUUUCGGCAAUGGGGGGAACCCUGACCGAGCAACGCCGCGUGAACGAAGACGUUAUUCGUAAUGUAAAGUUCUUUUAACAGGGAAGAAAGAGAAAUUUGACGGUACCUGAAGAAUAAGCUCCGGCUAACUACGUGCCCGCAGCCGCGGUAAUACGGAGGGAGCGAGCGUUAGACGGAAUUAUUAGGCGUAAAGGGUGGGUAGAUGGGAUAGUAAGUCUUUUGGAAAAAUGCUGGGCUCAACCUUGGGACUGCUUUUGAAACUGAUUAGCUAGAGUGCGGGAGAGGUAAGCGGAAUUCGUGGUGUAGCGGUGAAAUGCGUAGAUAUUAGGAGGAACGCCAGUGGCGAAGGCGGCUUACUGGACUGUAACUGACGUUGAUGCUCGAAAGCGUGGGGAUCAAACAGGAUUAGAUACCCGAGUAGUC
rnacentral:rRNA from 1 species